rnacentral:rRNA from 1 species
UAGGAAUUGGCGGGGGAGCACAGCAACGGGAGGAGCGUGCGGUUCAAUUGGAUUCAACGCCGGAAAACUCACCGGGAGCGACGAUUACAUGAAGGUCAGGCUGAUGACUUUACCUGAUUUUUCGAGAGGUGGUGCAUGGCCGUCGUCAGUUCGUACCGUAAGGCGUUCUGUUAAGUCAGAUAACGAACGAGACCCUCGCCCUUAAUUGCUAGCUCAUUCUCCGGAGUGAGCGCACAUUAAGGGGACCGCUGGCGCUAAGUCAGAGGAAGGAGAGGUCAACGGUAGGUCAGUAUGCCCCGAAUCUCCCGGGCUACACGCGCGCUACAAAGGAUAGGACAAUGGGAUGCGACACCGAGAGGUGAAGCGAACCCCGAAACCUAUUCGUAGUUCGGACUGAGGGCUGUAACUCGCCCUCACGAAGCUGGAUUCCGUAGUAAUCGCGGGUCAACAUCCCGCGGUGAAUAUGCCCCUGCUCUUUGCACACACCGCCCGUCAAACCACCCGAGUUGGGUCUGAGUGAGGGUG